GACGAACGCUGGCGGCGUGCUUAACACAUGCAAGUCGAACGGAAAGGCCCUGCUUUUGUGGGGUGCUCGAGUGGCGAACGGGUGAGUAACACGUGAGUAACCUGCCCUUGACUUUGGGAUAACUUCAGGAAACUGGGGCUAAUACCGGAUAGGAGCUCCUGCUGCAUGGUGGGGGUUGGAAAGUUUCGGCGGUUGGGGAUGGACUCGCGGCUUAUCAGCUUGUUGGUGGGGUAGUGGCUUACCAAGGCUUUGACGGGUAGCCGGCCUGAGAGGGUGACCGGCCACAAUGGGACUGAGAUACGGCCCAGACUCCUACGGGAGGCAGCAGGGGGGAAUAUUGCACAAUGGGCGGAAGCCUGAUGCAGAAACGCCGCGUGCGGGAUGACGGCCUUCGGGUUGUAAACCGCUUUCGCCUGUGACGAAGCGUGAGUGACGGUAAUGGGUAAAGAAGCACCGGCUAACUACGUG
rnacentral:rRNA from 1 species